rnacentral:rRNA from 1 species
ACGAACGCUGGCGGCGUGCUUAACACAUGCAAGUCGAACGGUGAAGCGCCUUCCUUUUUGGUGGGUGUGGAUGAGUGGCGAACGGGUGAGUAACACGUGAGUAACCUGCCCCCUUCUUCUGGAUAACCGCAUGAAAGUGUGGCUAAUACGGGAUAUUCUGGGUCUGUCGCAUGAUGGGUCUGGGAAAGAUAUUGUUUCGGUGGGGGAUGGGCUCGCGGCCUAUCAGCUUGUUGGUGGGGUGAUGGCCUACCAAGACGGUGACGGGUAGCCGGCCUGAGAGGGUGGACGGUCACACUGGGACUGAGACACGGCCCAGACUCCUACGGGAGGCAGCAGUGGGGAAUAUUGCACAAUGGGCGCAAGCCUGAUGCAGCGACGCCGCGUGAGGGAUGGAGGCCUUCGGGUUGUGAACCUCUUUCGCCAGUGAAGCAGGCCUGCCUCGUUUGUGGGUGGGUUGACGGUAGCUGGAUAAGAAGCGCCGGCUAACUACGUG